AUGCUUAACCAACUGAGCCACCCAGAUAGCAGAAGUAUAAGGAAAACAAGGUAUCUUGGUUUAUGGAUUGACACUGAAGAGCUAUGGGCUAAUAUAUCUGGCACUGACUUUUGACAUUAUUUGCUGAGACAGAUCAUGAAUUCUGAAAAUGCUGAAU
rnacentral:lncRNA from 1 species